rnacentral:rRNA from 1 species
UCCGUAGGUGAACCUGCGGAGGGAUCAUUAUCGAGUUACCCGGCUCUUCAACCCCUUUGUGAACAUACCCAACUGUUGCUUCGGCGGGUCGGGGCGCCCUCCCGGGGGCGCCCCCCGGGCCCGGUCCCGCUCGGGGCCGAGCGCCCGCCGGAGGAUCACCCAACUCUAUUUUAACGACGUUUCUUCUGAGUGGCACAAGCAAAUAAUUAAAACUUUUAACAACGGAUCUCUUGGUUCUGGCAUCGAUGAAGAACGCAGCGAAAUGCGAUAAGUAAUGUGAAUUGCAGAAUUCAGUGAAUCAUCGAAUCUUUGAACGCACAUUGCGCCCGCCAGCAUUCUGGCGGGCAUGCCUGUUCGAGCGUCAUUUCAACCCUCAAGCCUCGCUUGGUGUUGGGGCACUACGGUCGACGUAGGCCCUUAAAGGUAGUGGCGGACCCUCCCGGAGCCUCCUUUGCGUAGUAACUAACGUCUCGCAUCGGGAUCCGGAGGGACUCCUGCCGUAAAACCCCCACACUUUUUCUGGUUGACCUCGGAUCAGGUAGGAAUACCCGCUGAACUUAAGCAUAUCAAUAAGCGGAGGA